rnacentral:rRNA from 1 species
CACGCCGUAAACGAUGUCGACUUGGAGGUUGUGCCCUUGAGGCGUGGCUUCCGGAGCUAACGCGUUAAGUCGACCGCCUGGGGAGUACGGCCGCAAGGUUAAAACUCAAAUGAAUUGACG